AUCUCUCUUUGUAUUUGGUUGAAAAAUUAGUGAUUUGCUUGGUAUUUAAGCUUAAAAUUGAAGAAUUGUUUGAGGAGUUGUGGCUUGAUCAUUGCAUUGAAGCUUGAGGAAAGGGUAAAUCUAUCUCUGAUCAGCCAUGAGUAUGGGAGUUGGGCGAUGUAUGUACAUGUUCGGGCCACACUAGACCAAGCGGGUUGGGGUCUACCAGCGUUGAAACUUUUGUAACUCUAUUUUUCCGCUUAGGUCGGCUAAGGAGAAAAGACUUGUAAUAUUUUGUAAAAUGAUUUUUGGGAUCCCGAAACAUGUAACUUUUGUUUGUAAGGUUAAAAUUAUUACAA